rnacentral:rRNA from 1 species
UACGUAGGGGGCUAGCGUUGUCCGGAAUCAUUGGGCGUAAAGCGCGUGUAGGCGGUCCGGUAAGUCCGCUGUGAAAGUCGAGGGCUCAACCCUCGAAUGCCGGUGGAUACUGUCGGGCUAGAGUACGGAAGAGGCGAGUGGAAUUCCUGGUGUAGCGGUGAAAUGCGCAGAUAUCUGGAGGAACACCGGUGGCGAAGGCGGCAUCCUGGACCGACAUUGACGCUGAGGCGCGAAAGCCAGGGGAGCAAACGGG